AAUGCACUUGGGAGACACGGGAGUCUAUGCUCCAGCAGUACCCUCAUCUCUUUUAAGGUUAGAUCUCUAUGUGUUUUUGUGCUAUGUAUGUAUGUUAUGUUUUAUGCCAUGCUAUGUGUGCUAGUUGAGGUACAUUCGGGGACGAAUGUUCUUAAGGGGGGGAGAAUGUAAUACCCGGUUAGACUCCGGUAUCGGAAUUCCUACCGUCCGGUGG
rnacentral:lncRNA from 1 species